CAGCCGCGGUAAUACGAAGGGGGCUAGCGUUGUUCGGAAUUACUGGGCGUAAAGCGCACGUAGGCGGAUUGGCAAGUUAGGGGUGAAAUCCCGGGGCUCAACUCCGGAACUGCCUUUGAUACUGGCAAGCUAGAGUCCGGAAGAGGUAAGUGGAACUCCUAGUGUAGAGGUGGAAUUCGUAGAUAUUAGGAAGAACACCAGUGGCGAAGGCGGCUUACUGGUCCGGAACUGACGCUGAGGUGCGAAAGCGUGGGGAGCAAAC
rnacentral:rRNA from 1 species